AAUUAAUAUAUAUAUAUAUAUAUAUAUAUAUAUAUAUUUAUAGUAAUAAAAAUUAUUAUAUUAAUUAAUAAGUUUAAGUAUUUAAAUUGAAUUAAUAAUUAUAUUUAUAUUAAAGUAUAGUAAUAGAAUUUUUUAUUAUAAAAAUAAGAUAAAUUUUAUUAUACCUUUUGUAUCAGGGUUGAUUUAAAUAUAGUUAAUAAUUGUUAAUUAUCUCGAAAGAAAAGGAGUUAAAUAUAUAUAAUUUUUUAUGUAUUAAAUUAAUUAUUAAUAUAUAUUUAGAAAUUAAAUGUUAGUCGAAUUUUUUGAUAUCUAGUUUUUUUUGAAAUAAAUUAAAUUUAUUUAUUAAUUUAUUUAAAUAUAAAUUUAUAUAAAAUUUAUUUAAAUAGUUAAUAAAAAUAAUUUUAGGGAUAAACUUAAAAUUAUGUUAAUAUAAUUUUUAUAGAAUAAAUUAAUUUAUUAAUAUUUUUAGAAUUAAUUUUUAUUAAAGUAUAUUUAAUAAUUUAUAAAAAUUAAAUUAAAGAUUUAAAUUUAUAAUAUAUUUUAUUAAAAAAAUAAUUAUUUUAAUUAAGUAAGUAUUUAAAUAAUGAUUAAAUUAAUAAUUAUUUAAUGUUUAUAUAUAUAUAUAUAUAUAUAUAUAUAUAUAUAUAUAUUAAUUAAAGGAAUUAGGCAAAAUCUAUAUUCACCUGUUUAACAAAAACAUGUCUUAUUGAAAUUGAUUUUAAGUCGGUCCUGCUCAAUGAAUUUUAUUUAAAUAGCUGCAGUAUUUUAACUGUACUAAGGUAGCAUAAUCAAUUGUCUUUUAAAUGAGGUCUAGAAUGAAUGGAUUAAUGAAAUAUAAACUGUCUUUAUAUAAUUAAAUAAAUUUAAAUUUUAAGUAAGAAUGCUUAAAUAUAAUUAUUAGACGAUAAGACCCUAUAGAAUUUUAUAUAAAAUUAUUUAUAUUUAAAUAAUUUUAUAUUUAAUUGGGAGGAUUUUUAAAUUUAUAUAACUUUAAAAAUAAUGUUACAUAUAUUUAUGGAUAAAUAAAAUGAAUUAUUAUUAUUAUUAUUAGAAUAAAUUACCUUAGGGAUAACAGCGUAAUAUUUUUAGAUAGAUCAUAUUGAUAAAAAUGUUUGCGACCUCGAUGUUGAAUUAAAAUAAAUUUUAAGUGUAGGGGCUUAAUAAUUAAGUCUGUUCGACUUUUAAAAUUUUACAUGAUUUGAGUUCAAAUCGACGUGAGUCAGAUUGGUUUUUAUCUAUAAUAAAUAAAUAUAUUUUUGUACGAAAGGACUAAAUAUAUUUAAUUUUUAAUUAAUUAUAUAAUAAAUAAAUUA
rnacentral:rRNA from 1 species